rnacentral:rRNA from 1 species
AGAGUUUGAUCCUGGCUCAGGACGAACGCUGGCGGCGUGCCUAACACAUGCAAGUGGAGCGACGAACCGUCUUCGGACGGGGCAGAGCCGCGAACGGGUGAGUAACACGUGGGUAACAUGCCCCGAUGAUUGGGACAACCCGAGGAAACUCGGGCUAAUACCAAAUGUGCCCUCCAGCCAUAAGGCUGUCGGGGAAAGGA